AGGUUAAGGGGUGGGAACAAGCUGCGCUGUUUUGCAACGAGGACUGCAGGAUACGCCACGAAAUUGUGGAGUUUGAAAAGAGAAUGGGGAUCGAUCAGUAAUUCUCUCUUUGUAUGCAGCUGUGAAGUAGCGUAGCUUUAUCAUUUCUUUUGCUUUUGCCUGAUGAUGUUCAUGACUGGUUGGCUCAACUUGUAGUGCUGGAACUAUGUUUGUGAUUAAUUUGGCUCAUUUCUCCUUCGUUUUCAAUUGAGGGAUCAUAGGUACAUGGUGAGAUAGUCAUGCAUCCUCCAACCUACAUUCAUGAAUAAUAACUGCACAAAUUUAGAUAAAAUUGUAGAUAGGUUUGUUGAAACCAAACUUGAGUGCAAAUUGUAGAUAGGUUUGUUGAAACCAAACGUGAGUGCAAAAAACUAUGAAAUCAAAAGGAUAGGUGCGACCCACUACAUCCUGCGAAGGUUGUGCCUCUAAUUUUUAAUACUAGUGCAAUGUUUCCCUCCUACAUUUUUCCAAAUCCUCAAAUAUCUCAACCUCCUCCCCACUUACCCCCCAAAUGGCGGCUCCAUCCAUGGUGACUCCUAGUGCAAAAAACUAUGAAAUCAAAAGGAUAGGUGGGACCCACUACAUCCCACCAAGGUUGUGCCUAAAAUUUUUAGUACUAGUGCAAUGUUUCCCUCCUACGUUUUCCAAAAUCCUCAAAUAUGUCAACCUCCUCCC
rnacentral:lncRNA from 1 species